rnacentral:rRNA from 1 species
AGCCAUGCAUGUCUAAGUAUAAGCAAAAAUACAGCAAAACUGCAAAUGGCUCAUUAAAACAGUUAUGGUUUACUUGAUAAUAGUUUUUACAUGGAUAACCGUGGUAAUUCUACAGCUAAUACAUGAGCAAAAUCUCAACUUUAUUAGAAGAGACGCAUUUAUUAGAUAAAAAGCCAAUGCAUGCUUUUACAGUAUGGAAAUUGGUGAUUUAUAAUAACUUGGCAAAUCGCAAAGUGAAAACAGGCGAUAAAUCAUUCAAGUUUCUGACCUAUCAGCUUUCGACGGUAUGGUAUUGGCUUACCGUGGCAGUGACGGUUAACGGGGGAUUAGGGUUCGAUUCCGGAGAGGGAGCCUGAGAAACGGCUACCACAUCUAAGGAAGGCAGCAGGCGCGCAAAUUACCCAAUUCUAACAGUUUGAGAGAGGUAGUAACAAGAAAUAACAAUACAAGGCAAUUAAAAUGUUUUGUAAUUGGAAUGAUAGAAAUUUAAACCCUUUUUAAAGUAUCAAUUGGAGGGCAAGUCUGGUGCCAGCAGCCGCGGUAAUUCCAGCUCCAAUAGCGUAUAUUAAAAUUGUUGCAGUUAAAAAGCUCGUAGUUGAAGUUCUGCUAAAAGUAACCGGUCUGCUUUUAAUAAAAGUGGUAUCUUGGUGUGUAUUUAGCAAUGAUGUCCUUUGAAGUGUUUUUUACUUUAUUGUAAUAAAGCAUAUUCAGGACUUUUACUUUGAGAAAAUUAGAGUGUUUCUAGCAGGCCGACGCUUUGAAUACUGCAGCAUGGAAUAAUAAGAUAGGAUUUUAGUUCUACAUUAUUGGUUUUAAGAGCUAAAUUAAUGAUUGAUAGGGACAGUUGGGGGCAUUUGUAUUUAACUGUCAGAGGUGAAAUUCUUAGAUUUGUUAAAGACAAACUACUGCGAAAGCAUUUGCCAAAGAUGUUUUCAUUAAUCAAGAACGAAAGUUAGGGGAUCGAAGACGAUCAGAUACCGUCGUAGUCUUAACUAUAAACUAUGCCGACUAGAGAUUGGAGGUCGUCUUUAUAAACGACUCCUUCAGCACCUUACGAGAAAUCAAAGUCUUUGGGUUCUGGGGGGGAGUAUGGUCGCAAGGCUGAAACUUAAAGGAAUUGACGGAAGGGCCCCCCCAGGCGUGGAACCUGCGGCUUAAUUUGACUCAACCCGGGAAAA